rnacentral:lncRNA from 1 species
ACAGCACAGGCCCUCUCUCAAGGUCACCACCUCCACUCCCGUUGUAUGCUGGGAUUGUAGUCCGGCCGCCCUGUGACUAACGGCUGGAACCGCCUAAGACACCACCCCAGCCAGCAUGGCCGGCAGGAGCGCACCGCGCUGUCUCCCUCCAGGGAUCCGCACCGCCCUACAAUCCUGCUUUGUGCUGAGAUUGUAGUCCUGCAGGCGUACAACUAACAAGCUGGGUGCAGAUAAGAGACUACAGCUCCCCGCAUCCCAAGCAAAGGUCCCUCCUCUACGGAGCCCCUCCACGCGUCCACUGCGGUUCCGCCGUGCCAAGGGGAGCUUGGCUGUUCACGGGCCUCACCUGCUAGCGAGAAGAUAGCUUGGCCGGGCGGCUGAUCUCACCUUGUAAUUCUGACACUGUGUCUCCCGGGCUUGUCGGCUUCAUGACUUGUGCCCAAAGUUUGAUUUCUCGCAGACCAGGAGGACCCAUUGGACCCCCGGGCUGGCUGCAGGGCCCACACCUGGGUUAGACCUCGCACAGGGACGCUGCUGCCACUGUAAUAAAGCGUGCCUACACGCUUCUGAAACUGGUGUAGGAACAACCUCAGUUCUGUGAAAGGCGGACGCAGCAGGACAGAAUCUCCGUGGACAUCUGUCUGGAGGAGCAAUUUUACUGCGACAUUUUAAAGAAACAAAUUUAAUUGAUUUCCAAGGGUGAAGUGUAACCAAAAAAAAAAAAAAAAUCCAAAGGUCAAACUCAGUUUGCAGGAAGGAGCAUAGGAGAAUAAAGGAUGGAACAAAGAAGAAAAAGAACAGCAAGUUACUCUGAGUAUUGUGGAAACAAACUGAAAUUAGAGUGAGAGAGAGAGAGAAAAAAAAAGAAGGUCCGAGCAAUCUCAGAUAUAUGAGAGGCCAAGAUGGGAAGAUCACUUGGGUAAGACUGGGAAGAUUGAGUCUGCAGUGAGUCACAGUCGCAUCAUUCUGCUGGAUUUGAAUGGUACUGCUUCUGGCCCAAGUUGUCUGGGCAACCUUAGACAUGGUAAGGCAAGAGCCAUCUGAUCAACAUUAGACAUGGCAAGGUGAAAGCCAUCUGGUCGACAGGGAUUCUAAUAGAAGACACUCUGGGCCGAUGGCAGACGUCUAAUAAUAGAGACAAAGGGGUGUCCAUCGCGCUUCCUUCACUGCCUUGAUCAUGUCGGGGUCACCACCUGCGGGGGUUUGUCCUGCAGACCCUGACUCAACGACGGAUGAAUAAUGUACACUGACACAGAUCUUAUGCUUGUCAGUCCUGCUGAGCAUCCAGGCCACUUACAGACUCCAAGAAGAGUCCUGUCAGCCACGGCUCUGACUUGUUGGCCCUCCCGGCAUUUAUUUAGCACACAUUUAAUGACAGAAGUCUCAGGCUGGAAACACUCUUUUUGUAGAACAUACAAAUGGACAUUUCUAAGCACAUUGAGGCCUAUAAUGAAAAAUCAAAUAUCCCACAAUGAAAACUAGAAGGAAGCUAUCUGUGAUAAUGCUUUGUGGUGUAUGGAUUCAUCUCACUGACUGAAACCUGAGUUUUGAUUCACCAGGUUGGAAACUCUUUCUGCAGAAUCUGCAAAGAAAUAUUUCUGAGCCCAUUGAGGCCUACAGUGGAAAACUGAAUAUUCUGUGAUAAAACUAGAAACACCCUAUCUGUGAAAAUGCUUUGUGAUGUGUGGAUUUUUCUCAUCGAAUGGAACCUCUGUUUUGACUCACAAGGGUGAAACACUAUUUUAGUAGAAUCUAGGAAGAAACAUAUCUGAGCCCAUUUAUGCCUACAGUGAGAAACUGAAUACCCUGCAAUAAAAAGUAGACAGAAGCUAUUUGUAAAAAUGCUUUGUGAUGUGUGGAUUCAGUGUUAAACUUUUAUUUUGAUUCCACAGUUUUGACACCCUAUUUGUAGAAUAUAUGAAUGAACAUUUCUCAGCCCAUUGAGGCCUAUCAUGUGAAACCAAAUAUUUUAUAAUAAAAACUGGAAACAAGUGAUCUGUUAAAAUGUUUUUUAGUGUGUGAAUUUGUUUCACAAAGAUAAAUCUUUGCAUGGAUUCAACAGGUUGGAAACAUUAUUGUAGAACCUAUGAAGGGAUGUUUUUAGCCUAUUAAGGACUAUAUAUAUAAAAAAAACUAGAAACAAGCUGUCUGUGAAAAUGCUUUGUGAUGUGUGGAUUCAUCUCACAGAGUUCCACCUUUGUUUUUAUUCAACAGGUUAAAAACGCUCUUUUUGUAGAACCUACAAAAAGACAUUUCUGAGCCCAUUGAGGCCUACAGUGAAAAACCAAGAAUCCCAUAAUACAAUCUAGAAAACAAGCUAUCUAGGAAACUGUUUUGGAUGUGUGGAUUCAUUUAACAGAAUGGAAAUAGUGUUUUGAUUCACCAUGUUUGAAACACUCUUUUUGUGGAAUGCACGAAGAACAUUCUUUGUGGAAGAACAUUGAUGCCUAUAGUGAUUAACCAAAUAUCACGUGAUGCAAACUAGAAACAAGCUAUCUGUGAAAAUGCCUUGCAGCGUAUGGAUUCAUGUCACAGAGUUACACCUAUGUUUUGAUUCAACAGGUUGGAAACAAUCUUUUUGUAGAAUCUACAAAGGAAUAUUUCUGAGCCAAUUGAGUUCUAGAGUGAAAAACAGAAUAUCCUGUGAUAAAAACUAUAAAUAAGCUCUCUGUGAAAUUGCUUUGAGACUGUGGAUGCAUCUUUCAGAGUUAUGCCCUUGCUUAUAUUCAACAGGUUGGAAACACUUUUCUUGUAGAAUCUAUGAAGGGAUAUUUCUGAACCUAUUGAGGCCUAUGGUGAAAAAUUGAAUAUUCUGCGAUAUAAACCAGAAACAAGCUCUCUGUGAAAAUGCUUUUCCAUGUGUGCAUCCAUCUUACAGAGUUAAACGUUUGUUUAGAUUCAACAGGUUGGAAAUACUCUUUUUGUAGAAUCUAUGAAGGGAUAUUUCUGAACUUUUUGAGGCCUAUUGGCAAAAUCCGAAUAUUACGUGAUAAAAACUAGAAACAAGGUAUCAGUGAAAAUGCUUUGUGAUGUGUGGGUUUAUCUCACCAAAUAAAACCUGUGUCUUGAUUCACCAGGUUGGACACACUUUUUUUUCUAUAACCUACAUAGGGCGAUUUCUGAGCCUAUUGAGGUCUAUAGCAAAGCAACAACAACAAAUAUCCUGUCUUAUAAUCUAGAAAGAAGUUAUCUCUGAAAAUACUUUAUGAUGUGUGAAUUCAUCUCACAAAGUUAAACCUUUGUUUUGAUUCAACUGAUUGGAAACACUCUUUUUGUAAAAUCUAUGAAGGGAAAUUUCUGAGCCCAUUUAGGCCUAUAGUGAGAAACAGAAUAUCCCACUGUAAUAAGUAGAAACAAGCUAUCUGUGAAAAUCAUUUAUGGUGGCUGGAUUCAUCUCACCAAAUGAAACCUGUGCUUUGAUUCACCAGUUUGGAAACACUAUUUUUAUAGAAUCUAUGCAGGAAUAUUUCUGAUCCCAUUGAGGCAUAUGCUGAAAAUUCGAAUAUCCCAUGAUAAAAACUACAAACAAGCUAUCUAUGAAAAUGUUUUGUCAUGUGUGGAUUCAUCUCACAGAGUUAAACCUUUGUUUUGAUUCAUCUGUUUGAAAACACGCUUUUUUGUAGAAUCUAAGAAUCAACAUUUCUGAGUGCAUUGAAGCCUAUAGUGAAAAACAAAAUAUCUGAUGAUAAAAACUAGAAACAAGCUAUCUGUGAAAAUGCUUUGUGAUAUGUGGAUUCAUCUCAAAGAAUUAAACUUUAUUUUGAUUCAACAGGCUGGAAACACUGUUUUCGUAGAACCUACAAAAAGACAUUGGGGAGCCCACUGAGUCUUACAGUGAUAAACCAAGGAUCCUGUGAUAAAACUAGAAACAAGCUAUCUGUGAAAAUGCUUUGCAGUUGGUGAAUUUCUUUCAUAGUUAAACCUUUUUUUAUUCAAUACGUUGGAAACACCAUUUUUUAGUGUCUCUAAAGGGACUUUUUCAGCCCUUUGAAACCUAUAGUGAAA